CCCGUUUGUUUAUUUCUGAGCACAAAUAAUAAAGGAAAGAAUUGUGUCUUUUAUCGAAGACGAGCUCCUGUCAUGACCUGCUCGAUUCAUUACAAUGGUUCAGAAGAGGGGAAAAACAAAGCACCAAACCCCAUGAAACAUGUACUACCAUUUAUCAAAACAUAAUAUUUUGUAUGUACAUAUUGUCUGAUGAACGAUUUAAGUGUGUGUAUGUGCCAUUGCAGCUAAAAUAAUAUUGAUUAAAUAUCCAUUGCACUAGUUAUAAAAAACCUGUCUAUGGCCUUUUUAAAAACAUUUAAUGGCAUCAUUUAUAAAGCACAUAAAAUGCAUAUACAUCAGUCAAAAUCAUUUUAUUUUAUGUUGUUGUGGCACAGGAACAGCCGCAGACACAGAGAAGACAUCAAAUAUACUGUCAUCAAAUCUCAUUAAUUUCUCCAUGAACAGCGGCAGGAACCCAAGAGUCGUCAUGACAGUUAACAAUACAAGACAUGCUCUUCAGGUGUGUGCAGACUUGGUGGUGUAUUAUAACUAUAGCUGUUUCUCAUGUAUCGAGGUAUGAUCAGAGCUAAUUUUGGGGGGUUUGACUGCACUGGCAGUCACCUGUACACAGUUGGCCAUAUCUAGCCAUGGGUAUGUGACAUCCAAUUGAUGAUUGAUAAACUUAAUCUAUAGGAAUGUGCUAAUCGAGCUCAUGACAGCUACUGUAUGUUUUGUUUCUGCAUUUUAAGGAUUUGUUGAUCUGGCUGCUAUGAAGUAAACAUGGAUGUAAGUUGCUUUUUUGUUGAAGCUGCUUAUUGUAAGGUUCUGUCAAUAUCCCUGUGAUCCUGUAGCUGAAGUAAAUAAAUGUGAAGAUGAAGUAAAUGCAACAGGGAAAAAAAGUAUUUUCUACAUUUAAUAAGUUGGUUAAAGCAUGAACUUUAAAAUAUUAAGCAUAUUCUACUUGUGUGCUCUAUUUAAAUAUGUAGAAAUUAAAUCUCUAAAUUGUAUUACUUUGAAUUAUUUGUUGUAUUUAUAUUGAGUUCUCAAGUACCAAUUCAAGAGCAGAAAAUCCAAUUUCACAAAAUACUUUUCAGUGGUAUAAAAGAAGCUAUUUUUAACAUAUAGUUUGCUCUGUGGUUUCAGGCAUUGAAUUCAACAACCUGCCUGGAUAAUGAGUUUUGGAAUAGGGUUGAUGUAUAUCGCUACGUCCCGAUGAACCACAAGAACUACCUACCGGCUACUUACCUGUACCAUCCUUCAGUCAUCCGUCCUCCUUUGUCUGUCUGCCAUCGGUCCAUUCACCAUUCCUGCAAAAGAAACAUUGUAUCAGUAUUCGGCCAAGUCAUACUGCAACGUGCUUACUGAGAUUUACUUACCUGUUAUGUCCCCAAUCCAGAACCGUGCCUCUGUCUCAAAUAAAGUCCUGUUUGCUAUA